rnacentral:lncRNA from 10 species
CCUGGGAGGCGGAGCUUGCAGUGAGCCAAGAUUGUGCCACUGCACUCCAGCCUGGGUGACAGAGCAAGACUCCAUCUCAAAAAAAAUAAAUAAAAAAUAAAUAAAUAAAUAAGUAAAAAUGAAAAAGAAUUACAAUGAAGUCUUGAGUCCUUGGUUCUGAAUCAUCAUCCAUCAGUCAUAGCUAUGUCCUCAGCUAUCACGGUAACCCUGGCGCUCCAGAGUAAGUGAAAACUACCCUCAGACAAAAAUAAAAAUUAAAGGCCAGGUGUAGGGGUUCACGCUUAUAAUCCCAGCACUUUGGGAGGCCAAGGUGGGCGGAUCACCUGAGGUCAGGAGUUUGAGACCAACCUGGCAACCAUGGCAAAAUCCUGUCUCUACUAAAAAUACAAAAAAUUAGCCAGGCAUGGUGGAGGGCGCCAGUAAUUCCAGCUAUUCAGGAGGCUGAGGCAGGAGAAUCACUUGAACUCGGGAAGUGGAGGUUUCAGUGAGCUGAGAUUGCGCCACUGCACCCCUGCCUGGGCGACAGAGCGAGAUUCCCUCUCUAAAUAAGUGAAUCAAUAAAAUUUAAUUAGAGCUAGCAAGGCUGGGCACAGUGGCUCAUGCCUGUAAUGCAGCACUUUGGGAGGCUGAGGCGGGGGGAUCACUUGAAGUCAGGAGUUUGAGACCAGCCUGCCCAACAUGGCGAAACCCCGUCUCUAGUAAAAAUACAAAAAUUAGCCAGGUGUGGUGGCGCAUGCCUCUAAUCCCAGCUAUUUGGGAGGAUGAGGCAGGAGAAUCACUGAACGUGGGAGGUGGAGGUUGCAGUGAGCCAAGAUUGCGCCAGUGCACUUCUGCCUAGGUGACAGUGAGACUCCAACUCAAGAAAAAAAAAAAAGUAGAGCUUGUGAAGUGUUUAUGAUCAGUUUUAGUGUCACAUGUACAGAUCAGUAAUGUAAUCAUUAUAAUACUAUGUCUGGUCUACGGCUGGGCGCGGUGGCUCACGCUUGUAAUCCCAGCACUUUGGGAGGCUGAGGCAGGCAGAUUGCCUGAGGUCAGGAGUUCGAGAUCAGCCUGGCCAACAAAGUGAAACCCCGUCUCUACUAAAAAUACAAAAAUUAGCUGGGAGUGGUGGCACGCUCCUGUAAUCUCAGCUACUCGGGAGGCUGAGGCAGGAGAAUCGCUUGAACCUGGGUGGUGGAGGUUGUAGUAAGCCGAGAUCACUACAGCCUGGGCAACAGAGCGAGACUGCCUCAAAAAAAAAAAAAAGCAUUAAAUUUCAUUUUAUUUUCAUUUUUCCCUUUAUUUUUUCAUUUUUUAGUUGUGAAAGUAGUUCGUAUAUAUUUAGAAAAAUGUUUACUUUUAAUAAACUAUUCAUUUAAUAAAUGUAUUAACUGAGCACUAAAUAAUGCUCAAAGGAUCAUAGAUUUUUUUCCUCCACACUAAGCCCAUGGGACAUGAAGAAUAUCUGGGUGCUUCCAGGAUAUAAGGAAGGAAUGUGCCUUUUCCCACUCCUGGCCUUUGGGUACUGUCCUGAGCAUGGGAUGCUGGGGCAGGGGCUGCCUUGGCCAUCUUGCCAUCUGCAUGGCAGUGGCAGAGGAUAGCUGAGGGAAAGGACUAGAGAGCCCUGGAGCUGCCGCCUUGCUCUGUGAGAAGCCCCUUCCAAUGGAGAUUUGAAUUACUUGCAACUUGUUGGCCUGCCUCUCCACCCCACCCCCAUCUGUUCCCUAGCUCUCAACUUUGGCUGCACACUGGAAUCUCCUACUCAUGCUCCCUGACUAUGCCCUCACAGAUUCUGAUUUGACUGGUCCUGGGUGCAACGGGGCUGGCAUGAGACGACUAAAAACUCCCCAGGUGAAUCCAAUGAGCAACCAGGCUAAGGACCAGUGAUCUAACUGUAAGUCAUUCUCUUCUUUUCCCUUUGUAAUUUUAUGUUUCCACCUCAUACUGUGGUUGGCUACAUCUGUUUCUUCCCUCUCCUACUAGAAUGUAGGCUCCAGAUGGCCUUCCAAACAAUACAUGUGGCCCUUCACGCUCCAGGUGAUGACAAGUACCCGUUGCUGAUGGAAGUAGCAGAGUCAUACCUUUCUUGGAAUUUAGGUUCUACAGUCAAUGCUUAUGGCACCCAAUGAGUCAAAAACACCCUUGGCAACUCCUAAGGAAGGCUCUGCCCUGGAACCUGAUGUACUGUUUCCCCAUCACCAUCCAGGGAGAGUUUCCUCCUGGGCCGGAACAGAAAGCUGCCUCCUCCAUCAGGCACCAGAGGAAGUAGGGGGCUUCUGUUUAGGGACCACUUUGCAUAAAUGAGCAAUGUCCCUCCCUCCACUGCACAAUUAUAGCCAGCUCAAGCAGGUCCUCUCCUUCCUUCUACCUGCCCUGCAAAUGGCUCUCUCCUUCACUGACCCCCCGCCCUCCUUCUUAAAGGCUGAUGCUCCCUAGGACUCUAUCCUUGAUGCUUCUCAUUAAUUCUUCUCCCCGCUGGCUCUCAGCCCUACUUAGGGCUCCUGAUCAGUUAAAAAAGACCCAUGAGACCUCCCCUCCCCAGUUAACAGAGAUGUGGCCCAAGAGGCUCCCCACUUCUAAUUUGAGUGGGGGCAAAAGAAGAGAAAGAUCUUAUCUAGGUCUUGGGGGCAGGGCUUGCAGGGCACAAAGAAACAGAGUAAAUGUGCAACAGGCUAUUUUCUUGAAUGAAUGGAUUCAUAAUAAGAACAGGACUUCACCAGCUUCCAAGGGACCCUCCCCACCUCUCGGAUAUAUUCUGAAGCCUAAAUUUCACCUGCUUAUCUAGGAUCCUAGGCCAGGCCUUCUGCCACACCAAGCCACACCAAGCUCAGCAGUACUCACAGGCCUUUAAUCUAUAACUGCCUG